UAUUCGAGUCUAACAAUGUACGUUUACCCUAUGCAUAAUAUGUUUAUUUAGUUGUUAAAAUCACAAUAACCAAUUUACUGGGUUGUUAAUGCAAAUAAAGGUUAAAGAGGGUAUUGUCAUGACAGACACUUAGGGGGAGUUUCGGGAUACCCCAGUGGACAGACGACUUAUAUUUGAUCUAGGUGCCCAUGAUGAUAGUCCUGAAAGUGGCAAUAGGUCGAGUAGUGAGGAUAGUUUUGAAAGUGAUAGUGAUGAUCAUCGUAGAGGUAACAAUGAUGAAUGUGGAAAGGUGGAGAAGGGGGGUGAACACAAGUAUUUCGAGCACGAGGAUGCUGAAUGUGGAAGAGUGGAAGGAGGGACAUAUACACGUAGUGAUGAUAUUUUUCAUGAUGUGGUGGGGGACAUACGCGAUGAGGACGAGUUGAGCCCACCUGAUGUCUAUCUUGUAGACUCUCAUAGAGAGCGAUCUAUGGAUGAGGAGUGUCCUGAGUGUGCUGCCUGCAGGGAGGGAGUCAAUCCCAAUAAUUAUAUUUGUUCAUACCUACGGACCAUUGACAGCUCACUAUCGAGGUUGGAUGACUGUAUAUCGAGUUUAGAUAGUCGUGUAUCCAAUAUAGAGGAAAACAUGAUAGACAUGAAAGGACAAUUGUCGGUCAUCCUGUCACUGUUGCAGUCUAUGUGCGAGGGUUCCAUGGUGAAUGAGGAGACAACAAGGUCACCCAUCCCAUCUCGGGAUCCCGAUACCACUAAUGUGACUGUCUCUGAUACUCCCAUCCCCUUGUAGAGCCUUAAAAUACUACCACUUCACCUACUCUCAUCCCUUCUCUAGAGCCUGAUACCACCACAACAUCAUCCACUGAAUCAAACCUAUAGAGACCGAUGUCCCACAAACAGAGGCCAACAUGUUUGACUUACUCACCAUGCCACAUACAGAGGCCGACAUGUCUGACAUGCCAGAGGCCGACACUUCUGGUAUUGUUACGACCACAGAAGGAGUUACACUGGAAUCUUGAAUAACCACUCAUAAGAGAAAAGUUGUUGAUAAAUAUACACCUCUAGCUCAAGUAAAGAAGAAAAGUGUGGUUAAGCAUUCUAUCCCAGGUAUUGCUACGUCACUAUCCAGAGCGAUUGUCGCGUACAAUGUAGCACAUGACAUUCCACACAAUAUCUUUACAGAAAUGAUGGGCUGGAUUUUAGACGAGAAUACUGACAACAGGGUUCGAGAGAAUUCCUUUAAACCACUUGCCAAACAAUUUUUUAAGGAAUUGAUUUCCACAAAUUCGUGGGUCAAGUGCGAUAGUCACCUUAAUGCUCGUGGCGGAGUAUUUAAACGAAUAAAGAAUAAGACGAGAUCGGAGGCUGCCCUAGCAUGAGAGGAUGAAGACACGUACAAGGACUACGUCACCGACAAAUUCGAUGUCAAAUGGGCAUAUGUGAAUUUUGUUUAUACGGAAAUGAAUAUCAGUGAGCACUGGAUGGUUCUUGCAAUGGACAUUAACAGAGGCCAUAUAUUCGUGUUCGAUUCACUUCCGUCAUACACACCAAUGACAAAGUUGGUGAAUUGGCUGGAGCCAUUAACUAUCACAGUAUCAUCCCUACUUCACUAUUGUGACGUGGAUCGCUCAAAAUCGGACCUAUCCACAUCCCGUUGGAAAAUAUCGCAACCUAUUAACUUCGACAUACAGCACGGAUCGCUUGAUUGUGGCAUCUUUGCAAUAAAAUUACUAGAACAUCUGGUGACUGGUGUUGAUCCGUCCGUAGUCACUCAGGAGAAAAUGAGUGAAUAUAGGAUGCAGUCAGCGUGUCAA